rnacentral:rRNA from 1 species
UUAAGCGACUAAGCGUACACGGUGGAUGCCCUGGCAGUCAGAGGCGAUGAAGGACGUGCUAAUCUGCGAUAAGCGUCGGUGAGGUGAUAUGAACCGUUAUAACCGGCGAUUUCCGAAUGGGGAAACCCAGUGUGUUUCGACACACUAUCAUUAACUGAAUCCAUAGGUUAAUGAGGCGAACCGGGGGAACUGAAACAUCUAAGUACCCCGAGGAAAAGAAAUCAACCGAGAUUCCCCCAGUAGCGGCGAGCGAACGGGGAGGAGCCCAGAGCCUGAAUCAGUGUGUGUGUUAGUGGAAGCGUCUGGAAAGGCGCGCGAUACAGGGUGACAGCCCCGUACACAAAAAUGCACAUAUUGUGAGCUCGAUGAGUAGGGCGGGACACGUGGUAUCCUGUCUGAAUAUGGGGGGACCAUCCUCCAAGGCUAAAUACUCAUGACUGACCGAUAGUGAACCAGUACCGUGAGGGAAAGGCGAAAAGAACCCCGGCGAGGGGAGUGAAAAAGAACCUGAAACCGUGUACGUACAAGCAGUGGGAGCCUCUUUAUGGGGUGACUGCGUACCUUUUGUAUAAUGGGUCAGCGACUUAUAUUCUGUAGCAAGGUUAACCGAAUAGGGGAGCCGAAGGGAAACCGAGUCUUAACUGGGCGUUAAGUUGCAGGGUAUAGACCCGAAACCCGGUGAUCUAGCCAUGGGCAGGUUGAAGGUUGGGUAACACUAACUGGAGGACCGAACCGACUAAUGUUGAAAAAUUAGCGGAUGACUUGUGGCUGGGGGUGAAAGGCCAAUCAAACCGGGAGAUAGCUGGUUCUCCCCGAAAGCUAUUUAGGUAGCGCCUCGUGAAUUCAUCUCCGGGGGUAGAGCACUGUUUCGGCAAGGGGGUCAUCCCGACUUACCAACCCGAUGCAAACUGCGAAUACCGGAGAAUGUUAUCACGGGAGACACACGGCGGGUGCUAACGUCCGUCGUGAAGAGGGAAACAACCCAGACCGCCAGCUAAGGUCCCAAAGUCAUGGUUAAGUGGGAAACGAUGUGGGAAGGCCCAGACAGCCAGGAUGUUGGCUUAGAAGCAGCCAUCAUUUAAAGAAAGCGUAAUAGCUCACUGGUCGAGUCGGCCUGCGCGGAAGAUGUAACGGGGCUAAACCAUGCACCGAAGCUGCGGCAGCGACACUAUGUGUUGUUGGGUAGGGGAGCGUUCUGUAAGCCUGUGAAGGUGGCCUGUGAGGGUUGCUGGAGGUAUCAGAAGUGCGAAUGCUGACAUAAGUAACGAUAAAGCGGGUGAAAAGCCCGCUCGCCGGAAGACCAAGGGUUCCUGUCCAACGUUAAUCGGGGCAGGGUGAGUCGACCCCUAAGGCGAGGCCGAAAGGCGUAGUCGAUGGGAAACAGGUUAAUAUUCCUGUACUUGGUGUUACUGCGAAGGGGGGACGGAGAAGGCUAUGUUGGCCGGGCGACGGUUGUCCCGGUUUAAGCGUGUAGGCUGGUUUUCCAGGCAAAUCCGGAAAACCAAGGCUGAGGCGUGAUGACGAGGCACUACGGUGCUGAAGCGACAAAUGCCCUGCUUCCAGGAAAAGCCUCUAAGCAUCAGGUAACAUCAAAUCGUACCCCAAACCGACACAGGUGGUCAGGUAGAGAAUACCAAGGCGCUUGAGAGAACUCGGGUGAAGGAACUAGGCAAAAUGGUGCCGUAACUUCGGGAGAAGGCACGCUGAUAUGUAGGUGAAGCGACUUGCUCGUGGAGCUGAAAUCAGUCGAAGAUACCAGCUGGCUGCAACUGUUUAUUAAAAACACAGCACUGUGCAAACACGAAAGUGGACGUAUACGGUGUGACGCCUGCCCGGUGCCGGAAGGUUAAUUGAUGGGGUUAGCGGUAACGCGAAGCUCUUGAUCGAAGCCCCGGUAAACGGCGGCCGUAACUAUAACGGUCCUAAGGUAGCGAAAUUCCUUGUCGGGUAAGUUCCGACCUGCACGAAUGGCGUAAUGAUGGCCAGGCUGUCUCCACCCGAGACUCAGUGAAAUUGAACUCGCUGUGAAGAUGCAGUGUACCCGCGGCAAGACGGAAAGACCCCGUGAACCUUUACUAUAGCUUGACACUGAACAUUGAGCCUUGAUGUGUAGGAUAGGUGGGAGGCUUUGAAGUGUGGACGCCAGUCUGCAUGGAGCCGACCUUGAAAUACCACCCUUUAAUGUUUGAUGUUCUAACGUUGGCCCGUAAUCCGGGUUGCGGACAGUGUCUGGUGGGUAGUUUGACUGGGGCGGUCUCCUCCUAAAGAGUAACGGAGGAGCACGAAGGUUGGCUAAUCCUGGUCGGACAUCAGGAGGUUAGUGCAAUGGCAUAAGCCAGCUUGACUGCGAGCGUGACGGCGCGAGCAGGUGCGAAAGCAGGUCAUAGUGAUCCGGUGGUUCUGAAUGGAAGGGCCAUCGCUCAACGGAUAAAAGGUACUCCGGGGAUAACAGGCUGAUACCGCCCAAGAGUUCAUAUCGACGGCGGUGUUUGGCACCUCGAUGUCGGCUCAUCACAUCCUGGGGCUGAAGUAGGUCCCAAGGGUAUGGCUGUUCGCCAUUUAAAGUGGUACGCGAGCUGGGUUUAGAACGUCGUGAGACAGUUCGGUCCCUAUCUGCCGUGGGCGCUGGAGAACUGAGGGGGGCUGCUCCUAGUACGAGAGGACCGGAGUGGACGCAUCACUGGUGUUCGGGUUGUCAUGCCAAUGGCACUGCCCGGUAGCUAAAUGCGGAAGAGAUAAGUGCUGAAAGCAUCUAAGCACGAAACUUGCCCCGAGAUGAGUUCUCCCUGACUCCUUGAGAGUCCUGAAGGAACGUUGAAGACGACGACGUUGAUAGGCCGGGUGUGUAAGCGCAGCGAUGCGUUGAGCUAACCGGUACUAAUGAACCGUGAGGCUUAACCUU